rnacentral:rRNA from 1 species
AUGCCGGCGAAGCUUGUGCGGGAGCUGGGCGAGAUGGAGGAGCUCGUGGAGGAGAUCCUCACCCGCCUCCCGCCGGACGAGCCAGGUAAUCUCCUCCGCGCCUCCCUCGUCUGCAAGCCAUGGCUCGGCCUCCUCGCCAGCCACGGCUUCCGCCGCCGCUACGGCGAAUUCCACCGAACACCUCCCAUGCUCGGCUUCCUCCACGACUGGCCGAAAACUCGCGCCGAGUUCUUCCCCACCACGGAUUUCCGCGCGCGCGGUCCCGACCACAAGCACCAAUAUUCCGUGAAAGAUUGUCGCCACGGCCGCAUCCUCCUUUCGUACAAGGAUGACAAUCAGCCGAUCUUCGUCGUCUGGGACCCCAUGACGGGCGGCCAAACGGUGCUGUGCCGCCCCGAGAUGUCGGGGGCGAGCAGAUGGCAGGCCUCGGUGCUCUGUGCCGCGGACAGCUGCAGCCACGGUGACUGCCAUUCGGGUCCCUUCGUCGUGGUUUUUGUCACCCUUGACGAACAAGAGGGGGUCGCCACGGCGUCCGCGUACUCGUCGGAGACGAGUACUUGGUGCUCUCCGGCCUUAACUGCCAUUGCUCCUUUUGAGGAAGAAAUCGACUUCUAUGACUCGCCUAGUGUUCUGGUUGGAGACGCGCUCUAUUUCCUCGUUUUCCGGGAGCAGGAUGACGAGGUUAUUGAAGAUAGUAUUCUCAAGUACGAUCUGGGCAAGUCUUGCCUGUCGGAGAUUCUUCUGCCGGAAGAAGAGGUCGAGCGUGCCAGCAACAAUCCUAUCCUCAUGGUGGGGGAAGACGGCAGGCUGGGGAUCGCACACCUCUUCUUUUACUGCCUCUCCGUCUGGUGGAGGGAGGUGGAUCCCGAUGGAGUAGCGUCGUGGACGCAACGGAUAGACAUCGACCUCAAGACUGAUCUUUUUCCCCUUGGCAAUUUUUCGAUACCACCAGAGUUGGGUGGCUCUGUCGAGGGCACUGGCAUCAUUUUUGUAAUCUCAAAAGUUGGCACCUACAUGAUUGAUCUCAAGUCACAAACCUCGAAGAAGCUCUCGAGCAAGCUGUAUCAACAUCCAAAUGUUAGAUGGUCCCUCUUUCCCUACGUUAGCUUCUACUAUCCACCAGCGGUGGCUGGUGUUGUGGCUGAAGCAUCAAGUGAAGCUGGACAUGGGAAUGAGGAAACAUAA